ACGUAGGAUGCAAGCAUUGUCCGGAUUUAUUGGGCGUAAAGAGUUCGUAGGCGGUUUGUUAAGUCUAAUGUUAAAGAUCAGGGCUCAACCCUGGGACUGCAUUGGAUACUGGCAGACUGGAGUGUGGUAGAGGUAAGUGGAAUUUCUGGUGUAGCGGUGAAAUGCGUAGAUAUCAGAAAGAACACCAGUGGCGUAGGCGACUUACUGGGCCAUAACUGACGCUGAGGAACGAAAGCCAGGGGAGCAAAUGGG
rnacentral:rRNA from 1 species